GGUGUACUCAACGUCCUUGCCCAGCACCUGGCUCCAGUCAUCACCUGAGCAGCACACACAGCUGGAGCUCAUCCUGCUCAUCCUAGAGCUGAGCCAAUCCCAUCACUAGUAUGGAUGGAACCUGUGUUCCUGGCUCUAUUUCUACCAGCUCAGAGAUAAGGAGCCUUUUUGGCUUUGCUCUUGCUGCAACUGGUCUCUCUAGGGAUGGACUUUUGGAAGGUAUUUUGCUGCAGGGAUAUUGCUGGUUCUUCACAUUGAUUGGACUCCUGGCUGUGCCUCCAGCUUGCAUUGUUCUGUGCUGCUUCCUAGGGCAUGGCUGUGCCAUCAGCUGCUUGCACAUCAGAGCCUACCUCUGGGAUUUAUCAUCUUCUGAAUACUGAGAUUCCUACGCCAAAGCAGUCGUGACAACCACAUAAUAUUUAUCUUGGAAAGGACUUCUGGAGACCCUCUGGUGCCAGCCGAAGGAGGAUCAGCUUUGAAGCUACACAGGGUUGCUCAGGUCGCUGCGAUGUCCUGUAGUCAUCACGCGGCAGAGCUUUCUGUAAGAGCAGCUUUCUGGCCAAAGGACUGAAUGCUUUAAGCAUCCCACAAGGCCAGAUGGUUUCCUCUUUUCCCCCAGAGUGAUGGCUCCAGGCUGGGCUGGAGGCAGCUCAGCAGCAGCAGGGUGGAUGAAAGCUUUCAUUCCUGGUUCCAGAGAGUAACACUCAUAACACCUUACCCUACUCAGGGAGAGGGGAAAAAAUAUUAAAUAUUAAUGAAAAGCAAAGAUCAUUUGGCUGGUUAAAUCAUCCAAAAUCAAAGCAGAUGCAAAGGGGUGACAGUUUCUUGUUUGCCUGCUGGCCAAUUCUGUUCCUCAGGAUUUCAAUUACAAACCUCAAUGUCUGGAGGCGGCAGGAAAGGCUUAAAUUGUUCCACGCAGGAUUGCAGUUCAGAUGGAAGAAAAUGUAUUUAUUUUUCCUGACGAGGAUGGGGUCACGGUGAUUUCUCCUCGCUGGGUUCCUCGCCAUGAAUGCACUACAGGGGGAAGUGUGGGCUCUUGUUGGGCUUCCAGAGAAUUUACUUUGAAACUUUUUGCAAUGCCUCUGAAAGCAAGAAAAAUGUUCCCAUUCAUUAAUGCUCUGCUGCAAGGGGGAGGGAGAGGAGAAGGAAAGUGCGUGGUCAUCUAGAAUAAAUGCAGCAUUGCUGGGAUUAAAGUAGAGAGA
rnacentral:lncRNA from 1 species